rnacentral:rRNA from 1 species
UUCCAGGUGUAGCGGUGAAAUGCGUAGAGAUCUGGAGGAAUACCGGUGGCGAAGGCGGCCCCCUGGACAAAGACUGACGCUCAGGUGCGAAAGCGUGGGGAGCAAACAGGAUUAGAUACCCUGGUAGUCCACGCCGUAAACGAUGUCUACUUGGAGGUUGUGCCCUUGAGGCGUGGCUUCCGGAGCUAACGCGUUAAGUAGACCGCCUGGGGAGUACGGCCGCAAGGUUAAAACUCAAAUGAAUUGACGGGGGCCCGCACAAGCGGUGGAGCAUGUGGUUUAAUUCGAUGCAACGCGAAGAACC